GUAUUCGCAAUGAAUACGUAAUAGUAGUGGCUUGAGUACUGGAAAUAACAGAGAGUCGGUGGAAGGUGUGAAUCGGCCCAGCCAAGCGAUGAAAUACAGCGUAGGAGUGAAUCCGCACCGCAUCUUGUCUUAUUUGCGGGCGGACGGCGUAUGAGUAAUCAUAGGCCGUUAUCCGUUUGAGUGAAGGACUUUAGUCCUUAACUAAGGGUGGUACCGCGAGCAAACUCGUCCCUUUU
rnacentral:ncRNA from 1 species